rnacentral:tRNA from 1 species
AGGGCUAUAGCUCAAUUUGGUCAGAGCAGCGGUCUCAUAAACCGCAGGUUUCGGGUUCAAGUCCCGGUAGCCCUACCA